ensembl:lncRNA
AUCAGCUGGUGCAGGGUACGGUGGCCCAGCAGUCCAAAUCACAGAUCGUGACCAAGGAAGUAUGCGGGUUGGAAAAUGAGCAGACCCUUGGAGGUCUUGAUGUGUUAGCCAAUAUGGUUUCAACUGAUCUCCUGCUCCUGAGUAUCUGGGACUACAGGUGUGGACCACCAUGCUCAUUCUGUUGCAUCCAUGCGCAUGUAUGUGGUGCUGGGGAUGGAACCCAGUGCCUUGCACAUGCCAGGCAAGUGCUCUACCACUGAGCUACACCUCAGCCCCCGUGUUGGCAACAAGUAAUUGUUGGAAAAAUCCAUGUGUCAAGGAACUGAAGGGUAUUAUCAAGCAGGAAACUGAGGCUUUCAGCCCAACAGUCUUUGA